UACGUAGGGUGCAAGCGUUGUCCGGAAUUAUUGGGCGUAAAGAGCUCGUAGGCGGUUUGUCGCGUCUGCUGUGAAAACUCGGGGCUUAACCCCGGGCCUGCAGUGGGUACGGGGCAGACUAGAGUGCGGUAGGGGAGACUGGAAUUCCUGGUGUAGCGGUGAAAUGCGCAGAUAUCAGGAGGAACACCGGUGGCGAAGGCGGGUCUCUGGGCCGUAACUGACGCUGAGGAGCGACAGCGUGGGGAGCAAACAGG
rnacentral:rRNA from 1 species